UGAUAAUUGUUUUUAGUUUUCCUGAUUAAUGGUAGCCUAUGUAAACUGAUUUUAAGUAGUGUAAUGAAAAGUUAAGCUCAGAAAUUUUUCCCUAAUAAAAUAAGGGAAGGGGAGAAGCAUAUUUUAAUGUUAAGAAUAGGUUUGUAGAGGCGUAAAGUGCCAUUAGCCUAUUGAAUGUAAGUAUCUGGGCUAUUAAGUUUAUACUGAAAUAUUUUCUAUGUAUGUAAUAUUUCAACAAACACAUAAUUGAUUAAUUAAUGGUCAAAUACUAAAUUGAAAUUUUAUUAAAAAAAAUUAAUAAGCUGUAAAGCUUGUCAAUUUGUUUACUUUAUUACAACUACAAUUUUUCAGCCCUUUUCCAGAAUUUGAACUAAUUUGAUCAUAAAGAUUGAUCUAUUUAUAAUUUAUCGAGUACAAUUUGUAGACAAUUAAAGCUGGUUAAAGGAACUUUUAUUUUGGAAAAAGAAGUGCUGCUGUUUCAAGACAUGCGCACUAGCUGCGACAUCUAGUGACGACAUUUACCAGGCUUUAACGGUUGUUGCUGCAUGAAGUGCAAUUUCUCUGAGCUAAAUGCUAUCGAAGCGUCGCAGCGCGCUCCAGCGCUUACGUGCACGCACACAGAUGAUAGAGGGAUGUAUCAACAGUUCUUAGUUAAGAAUCUGUCAGAAGAAAUUCAAGUACUGUUCGUGCACCAGAUGGUGAAGUAGAAAAGUUCAUAAAAACCUCUGCAGCUUGCAUCUGACAGAGAUGCAAAAAGAAGAAGAGAGGGGGCCUGAAAACAAGCAAAUUCAAGGGUACACUUGAGGAGUGUCCAGAUGUUUAUUAAUGUUUUAUUAAUGUAAUGUUAUGUUUCAAAUAAACAUGUAAACAUAC